rnacentral:rRNA from 1 species
UAGGGAAUAUUGGUCAAUGGGCGAGAGCCUGAACCAGCCAUGCCGCGUGCAGGAAGACGGCCUUCUGGGUUGUAAACUGCUUUUAUAUGGGAAGAAAAAGGUCUUGCGAGACAAAUUGCCGGUACCAUAUGAAUAAGCACCGGCUAACUCCGUGCCAGCAGCCGCGGUAAUACGGAGGGUGCAAGCGUUGUCCGGAUUUAUUGGGUUUAAAGGGUGCGUAGGUGGGCCUUUAAGUCAGUGGUGAAAGCCUACAGCUUAACUGUAGAAAUGCCAUUGAUACUGGAGGUCUUGAGUAUAGAUAAGGUAGGCGGAAUUGAUGAUGUAGCGGUGAAAUGCAUAGAUAUCAUCAGGAACUCCGAUUGCGAAGGCAGCUUACUGGUCUAUAACUGACGCUGAGGCACGAAAGCGUGGGGAGCGAACAGGAUUAGAUACCCUGGUAGUCCACGCCGUAAACGAUGAUUACUCGCUGCUUGCGAUAUACUGUGAGUGGCCAAGCGAAAGCGUUAAGUAAUCCACCUGGGGAGUACGCUCGCAAGAGUG